CCUACGGGAGGCAGCAGUGAGGAAUAUUUGUCAAUGGUCGGGAGACUGAACCAGCCAAGCCGCGUGAGGGAGGAAGGUACAGAGUAUCGUAAACCUCUUUUGUCAGGGAACAAAGACUGGGACGCGUCCCCGGAUGAGUGUACCUGAAGAAAAAGCAUCGGCUAACUCCGUGCCAGCAGCCUCGGUAAUACGGAGGAUGCGAGCGUUAUCCGGAUUGAUUGGGUUUAAAGGGUGCGCAGGCGGUCUGUUAAGACGGCGGUCAAAGCCCGGGGCUCAACCACAGCCCGCCGUUGAAACUGGCAGUAGCGAGUUGGAGAGAAGUAUGCGGAAUGCGCGGUGUAGCGGUGAAAUGCAUAGAUAUCGCGCAGAACUACGAUUACGAGGGCAGCAUGCCGGCUCCACACUGACGCUGAGGCACGAAAGCAUGGGUAUCGGAAAGGAUUAGAUACCCGAGUAGUG
rnacentral:rRNA from 1 species